AUACUUACACCCUGCAUGUUAUGUUUUGUCCUUUCCUCGUUGCACGGCUGAGCGGCAAGGAUGCGAUCAUCCGUCGGCACUUAUUGUACGGGAAUUAGACGCUCACUCUCGUUGUCAGUCAGGCAUAAACACGUGCCACAAUCUUCGUAACCUUCAGACAGGUUUCUAACCUUGGAUGUCUACACGUGAAGGUACUUCAUCUAUUUGCUCUACCCUCCAACCGACGUCUGGGAAAGUAAUGUGCUCUAAUGUGACCGUUAAUUAUUUCUCAUAAGGAUGGCUUCGCUUGAGAGCACUGCUGUUAAACUGCAAUCAACUGUUUCUAUGGCAACCGCAACAAAAAAAAAAA